AGUGACAGUGUUUACACCUGCUUGGAUCAUCACCGGGGUUCUCUCGGUGGAGGUGUCUACUUUACCAGCCACUUUUUGCUUAGUCCAGGACAUGAGCCAUUUCUUCUUCUCUUGCGUGGUCUCAGGUCCAUAUUUGUGGGACAGUUUGAAGAGCUGAGUGGCUUUCUGCAAGUCCAGGGCUUGGGUAAACUGGUUGAUCCCAGGAGAAACAGUGGUGGCGGGGUGUGUGGUGCAGGGCAGAUGUUGUUACCCUAGGGGAAGAUGGCAUUAACCUCUUGUAUUUGUGAUGCCAGGGUGUGGUUUAGCCUAUAACCACCCGAAGGUAUACCGCUGAAUCCUGGGCUAGGAAGGGGGGGAAUAAAGACUCCAAUGCCAAGUUACGGACAAUGGUAGCUUUACUGAAGGUAGACAGUUUGUUAAAGUCUAUACAGUUCAUCCAGGGCCCAAGGAGGUGAUCAGUGACACAGAGACCUUAAGGGCUUGCUGGGACUUGUAGUAGGACUGGACAAUUGAAUGCAGACCACGCAGACUUGACAGAUGACAGGGACUGACUUGACUCAUAAAGCUGUGACUUUAGCUUACUUGAAUUGUUGGUGGCUGCAGGACUUGAUUUUGAGGCCUCCAACACUCUGGACACACACACUAGGCACGACUGCUCUGGACCUCAGCUUAGCAGAAGCUAGCUCCACCCAGGGCUUAUAUGGGGGAGACUAGCAGGGAGCCCAUAGGUCACUCUUGGGAUCACCUGGUCACUGGUACCUCCUGGGUAACAAUCACAUGAUAUAUCACAUGGUAUAACUCUUAAAACAACAUUACAUUGUAAAACAUAUUUACAAUGUGGAAACAAGUGCAGGGGGCCUUGGGACAGUGAAGGAGGCUGCCUGACAGGACAGCAGGAGCACGGGGUAACACCUCCCGUACUGGGCCACCACAGAACCUUGAGACCUUUGUAUAGGAUGAAUCUUUGGCACUGGAGCCGGACGUAGCACAGACUUUUUAUGAAGCCGGUGAGAUCUCUGUUGGGUUGAAUGUUCUGACCAAUUUGAAUGUUCAGGCCAAAGUUCUCUGGCACCUUCUGGAACAGUAGGUUCACUAUUUUCUUCACUUCAGCCUUCUUGACCACAAAUGGGUCCAGAGCCACCUCCUUCCCCUUGGCUUUUUUUUCCUUUUGGCAUGGUGAACGUGGAUAGGGAAGCGUAUCUUACUAUUAUAAUAAUUAUUCAUGCCAAGUCCUCCAUAGUGAGAGCUCUUUUCAGCAGCUGUGUGUUGUAGUGAGAAAGGGCCUUCAUUAAAGGGAUAUUCCUAGCAGCCAAUCAGGCAGUGAUUGGCUGAGCAGGCAGGUCCUUCUCCAAGCUCUGGUCUUAGAAGCAGGCAGAAGACAGGGGCAGUGGAGGAUCGGGAGCAGACAAAAUGGGAGCUGCAACAGUACCUGCAGGGGACCCGUGAUAGGAAAUACCCAGUCAGCUGAUCACAGACCACAGUAGUGACCGGCUCGGACAGGGAUGGCUGUGCAAGCAUUCUCACCCAUUCACUGUGGAUCCAAGUGCCUAGUACCUCUGAACCACAAAACAUCUUUAGUUCUGCAAGGUAAUGUGUGUACACCUUUAAGUAAAUCUGCCCCUUUAUGGAUCCACUUCUGACUUUGGCUCAAAAACUGCAGUGGCAGAUAUCCAAAAACUGCCAGAAAAACCCCAAGUGGAAACAUAGCCUAAGGAUGAAAAGUUAUCAUUGUCGUGAUGAGUACACUGGUUCGGCUUGUUACAGAUAGGCCACAUAGCAGAAAGGCCGUGGAUGUUCCGUCUGGAUUUACAGAAUGUAUCAACAAAGAAUUGACCUCUAGUACUAAUUUUUCAAUCCGCAGCAUUUCUCUUUGUGGAUUGGACGCAGCGUUGAGUUCAAUAGAGAAGUCCAAGUGUAGAUUUUUCUGUUUAUUCCCAUGUAUCCCUCAUGGCUUUAGGGAAAGUUGUUGAACGCCAUUAUUAAACAACAGAUCUUCUUAAUAUACUGAUUGCAGAAUACUCCUUUAAGCUUUGAGACAUGAACCCCAGUUUUUGAAACACAAACAUUUUGGAAAAACAACAACAUUGUUUCCUAUUACAACUAAACAAAAAUAUUUUUUAUUACAGUACUUUUUAUUUAGGAAUAUAAAUAUAUACGUGACGCAUGCAUUCACUUCUAUACAGUGUAUUUGAGAAUAUGUAUCUUUAAUCCUUAUUUUUUUUUUUAAGUACCAGUAAUGUAUUUUGUGCAUGCAAACAUUUCUAAACUGGAGCUUUUAUUUUCAGAAUUUAAGCUUCUGAAUGUAUAUAUUUUAUCUGAAAUGUUAUUCUGAAUUCAUCUGGAAAAUUAAAAAUCCCAUAUACU